GACGAACGCUGGUGGCGUGCUUAACACAUGCAAGUCGAACGGAAAGGCCCUGCUUUUGUGGGGUGCUCGAGUGGCGAACGGGUGAGUAACACGUGAGUAACCUGCCCUUGACUUUGGGAUAACUUCAGGAAACUGGGGCUAAUACCGGAUAGGAGCUCCUGCUGCAUGGUGGGGGUUGGAAAGUUUCGGCGGUUGGGGAUGGACUCGCGGCUUAUCAGCUUGUUGGUGGGGUAGUGGCUUACCAAGGCUUUGACGGGUAGCCGGCCUGAGAGGGUGACCGGCCACAUUGGGACUGGGAUACGGCCCAGACUCCUACGGGAGGCAGCGGUGGGGAAUGUUGCACAAUGGGCGGAAGCCUGAUGCAGCAACUCCGCGCGCGGGAUAACGGCCUUCGGGUUGUAGACCGCUUUCGCCUGUGACGAAGCGUGAGUGACGGUAAUGGGUAAAGAAGCACCGGCUAACUACGUG
rnacentral:rRNA from 1 species